UACGUAGGGGGCAAGCGUUGUCCGGAAUCAUUGGGCGUAAAGCGCGUGUAGGCGGCCAGAAAAGUCCGCUGUGAAAACUCGAGGCUCAACUUCGAGCUGUCGGUGGAAACUUUCUGGCUAGAGUCCGGAAGAGGAGAAUGGAAUUCCUGGUGUAGCGGUGAAAUGCGCAGAUAUCAGGAAGAACACCCGUGGCGAAGGCGGUUCUCUGGGACGGUACUGACGCUGAGACGCGAAAGCGUGGGGAGCAAACAGG
rnacentral:rRNA from 1 species